ACCUACGGGGGGCAGCAGUAGGGAAUCUUCCACAAUGGGCGAAAGCCUGAUGGAGCAACGCCGCGUGGGUGAAGAAGGUCUUCGGAUCGUAAAACCCUGUUGUUAGAGAAGAAAGUGCGUGAGAGUAACUGUUCACGUUUCGACGGUAUCUAACCAGAAAGCCACGGCUAACUACGUGCCAGCAGCCGUGGUAAUACGUAGGUGGCGAGCGUUAUCCGGAUUUAUUGGGCGUAAAGGGAACGCAGGCGGUCUUUUAAGUCUGAUGUGAAAGCCUUCGGCUUAACUGGAGUAGUGCAUUGGAAACU
rnacentral:rRNA from 1 species